rnacentral:lncRNA from 1 species
AUUCAUUUUAUGCAUCUACGUAGUGGUCGUGUCGCAUCUCAUCCUGAGUUCCAAUUAGGCAUGGAUUCCAAAAUUGAAGCUCUAUUAAAGGCUAUCUAAGACACUAACGCUCAAGUCCAAAACAACAAUGCCCAAAUUCAUGACCUAACCACAAUGUCCACCCAGGUUAAUACCCGACUUGAUUCAAUCGAGGCUUCACUUCAGCGGGUUAUUGAAUUUAAGAAAGCUAGUACCUCCCAUUUACCAGGUCUUGAAGGGGAUGACACCCUAGAACAACUCCUAGAACAACAAGACUCUGUUCGGUAAGACAAUUUUGAUAAUAGGUAUGUUCCGGGUCAGCAUCAUGCCUACCCUCGCCCUAGAGGACCAGGUCCCUUUCCUAAUAUUGAUAGAAGUUACCGACAUAACGUAGAACCUAGAGAACCUCGUGACCCUGAUGAAGAUGUAAUGAGAGGCAUUAGGGUGAAAGCCCCCACUUUUGACGGUCGUCUUGACUCGAAAGUCUUCUCCGAUUGGUU